rnacentral:rRNA from 1 species
AGAGUGAACGCUGGCGGUAGGCCUAACACAUGCAAGUCGAACGGCAGCACAGUAGGAGCUUGCUCUUACGGGUGGCGAGUGGCGGACGGGUGAGGAAUACAUCGGAAUCUACCUUUUGGUGGGGGAUAACGGUAGGGAAACUUACGCUAAUACCGCAUACGCCCUUCGGGGGAAAGCCGGGGACCAGCAAUGGCCUGGUGCUGAUAGAUGAGCCGAUGUCGGAUUAGCUAGUUGGUGAGGUAAUGGCUCACCAAGGCGACGAUCCGUAGCUGGUCUGAGAGGAUGAUCAGCCACACUGGAACUGAAGACCACGGUCCAGACCUCCGUAACGGGAGGACAGGCAGGUGGGAAUAUUGGAACAAGUGGGACGACGAACGCU